GUUUCAUUUCCUUGUCUCUUUGUAUUGCCUAAGACCUUCGGUACAAUGAAGGUUAGAAAUAAUAAUGGGCAUCUCUGCUGCAUUUCUGACUUUAAAAGAAUAGAUUCUAAGGCUCACAAUUAACAGUGCAUACCUCCUGGGAACAUGUUACCAAAAGUUAGAAGGCCAAAUUCCCUCAGCCUCUAUCCAGCAUCACAAAUAACUUCAAUGAGAACCAUAGGAACAUCGAGUGUCCUGUGAAUCUGAGAACUGCAAUGGGCCCUAGGGGCUCUUCCAUCCAGGCUUAUCAUGAUUCAGGAGAAGAAAUUGAGGACCGAAGACAUCAAAUAUAAUAAGCUAAUGGAGGAACUGAGGCUACUUGCCUGGCUCCAGUGCUCUUUCCUUUGCCUCAAAAUCUUUACAGGUCAGCCAUCUAUCAUGUGUAGAAUAAGCAAACUGAAUUAACAUUGGAAAUAUUAAAAGAACAGAGGUUGCGUGGAUAUUGGUUGGAACAGAGAAGAAGUUUUCACAAGGAAUUAAAGUAACACCAGCUGCUCACUGCUCUGACUUAAACCAUACAGCAACUCCAGAAACAUGGGGGGUGUUGUUGAGUGGCAAGGUAAGCUCAAGAAUGCUAAAUGUGUCUGAAGGCAAAGGGGAUUAUUUGUCAUUGGCCUUCUGACUCAAAAAAGCCAACAUAUAUAUAUAUAUCUCAAAACCUACUGAUAAGCAGAAAGAAUAUAGGGCUGUUAUACUUGGUUGGCAUCACUUUGUUCAGAAAGCAAGAAGGCAGCUGCAUUCCACACUGACCAAAACUAUUAUAUCAGGUUGUGCUUCUCUUAGUCUUAGGUGUCUUCUCGUAGGACUGUUUUAAAAUUCAACACGAGGGGAGAGGGAACAAGCUAGACACAGAGAAAAUAGUUAUAUAUUUAGAGGACUGUGAGAUCUUAAUAAAAUUUAACCGUAUGGGGGCUCUAUUGCAUUUACCAUUCAUUCAACAAAAGUUACUGAUUGCCCAUUAUGUACUAGGCCCUGGUCUAGGCACAUGGAAUACACAGAUGAAUAAAUAUGUUCACUGUCCAUUACUUUCUCAAAAGUUGAGGGGCCAGAAAACUAAAAUGAAAUGAGACAGACACUACUGGGGCUCAGGCUGGGUUGAGGGGAGGGCCUUCAACCCUGCCUUGCUAUAUUAGCAAAGGCUUCUAGGAGAGGAGUUGAGGCCUUUUCACGCUUUUUGAAGGAAAGAUCGUGUUAAUCAAGUAAAUUAGAGAAAAGACAUUCCUAGUGGAAGAAACAACCAUGUCAAACUUCAAAGAAUGAUCAGGAAACUAUAAUAAAUGUAUUCUUUCUCUAGUGCAUAUUGUUGAUGAGUAUUUGGAGCAAGACACAGGUGUGUGCCAUUCUGCACUUACUUGGUAAUUAAGUGAAAAAAAUCUAAAACUGAAAAUUUAAGAGUAGAUUUUCAAGUAUUGUUUCAAAAGUUCAAACAAUAUUAACAAACUCAGUGUCUCACCCCACCUAUUGGCUUUGCUUUUCGUUUUAUUGACCCAUUUUCCAGUAAGCUGUCUACUUAAAGAGACUGGUAGCUUGAGACUUAAGUAAUCAGAACAGAUAAUAAUCCUACAAAAAAAAAAAAGAGUUUUAUUCUAAUAGUUCCAGCAAGUCUUGAGAUUGCAUCUCAUUGAGCUGGCUUCAGUCACAUCACAUUCCUGAACUAAGGCCCUGGUAGUACAAAGCUCAAUCCUAUCAUCUUGACUGUCCUCUUCAGAGAAGAGAUUUUCUUCUCUUCUCUGCACCUCCGUCUAACCUGUACUAAAGUUAUCAUUAGUUUUUCCUUAAAUUAGAGAAUCCAAACACAUCAAACUCAUGCAAAAUAAUGAUGCCAGUUCCCUUCCUUACAUUACACACACAAAAAAUUAACUCAAAAUGGAUUAUAUACCUAAAUGUGAGAGUCAAAACUAUAAAACUCUUACAAGGAAACAUAGGGGUAAAUCUUUGUGCCCUUGAGUUAGGCAAAGCCUUCUUAGAAAUGACACUAAAAGCGUAAGCAACAAAAGAAAAUAGAUAAAUUUGACUUCAUCAAAGUUUAAAAGUUUUAUAAUACAAGUAAUACUAUUAAGACAAAUGAUCGCACAGAGAAUAGGAGAAAAUAUUUGGAAAUCAUAUAACACAUGUGACAAGAGACAUGUAUCCAGAAUAUAUAGAGAACUCCUACAAUUGAAUAAUAAAGGAUAAUUAAUCCAAUAUUUAAAUGGGCAAAGAAUCAGAGUAGACAUUUCUCUAAGGAAGGCAUAUGAAUAACCAAUAAGCUCAAGAGAAGAUGCUUACAAUGAUCAUUCAUUAAGGAAAUGCUAACUAAAACCACAAGAUACCACUUCACAAAGCCACUAUAGAGUGGCUAAUAACAAGAAUCGUAGAGGAUGUGGAGAAAUUGAAACUCUCAUGCAUUGCCACUGGGAAUGUAAAAUGUUGGAGCCACUUUGGAAGACAGAUUGGUGGUUCCUCAAAAGUUGAACAUGGAGUUACCUUAUGACCUGGCAAUCCCACUCCUAGGUACAUACUCAAAAGAAUUGAAAACAGGUACUCAAACAAAUACAUAUGCAAUCAUAGUCAUAGCAGCACUAUUCACAAUAUCCAAAAGGUAUAAAUAACCCACAUUUCAAUCCAUUGAUGACCUGAUAAACAAAAUGUAGUAUAUCCCUCCAACGGCCUGUUGUUUGACAAUAAAAAGGAAUGAAGAAUUGAUCAUAGUACAACAUGAAUGAACCUUGAAAACAUUAUACUAAGUGAAAGAAACAAGUCACAAAAGACCACAUAUUAGAUUAUUCCAUUUAUAUAAGACAUUGAGAAUAGGCAAAGCUAUAGAGAUGGAAAGUGGAUUAGUGGUUGCCAAGGGCUUGAGGGAUGGGGAGGGAUUAGGAGUGACUGCUGGUGGAUAGUUCAUUGCUUUUUGAAGUGAUGAAGAUAUUCUAAAAUUAAUUAGAUUCUGGGGGUUGUCACACAAUCCUGUCAAUAUAUUAAUAUCAUUGAAUUAUUAUAUACUUUAAAUGGAUGAGUGGUAUAGCAUGUGAAUUUUGCCUCAAUAAAGCUGUCUAGUGAAACACAGUAUAGACAAAGUAUUUGAAUAGGAAUUUUCCCAAAGAAAGUAUGCAAAAAAAGCCAACAAGCACAUAAAAAGAGGUUAAACAUUGGUCACUAAAGAAAUGCAAAUCAGUCCUGUUGUAGUGGCUCAUGACUGUAAUCCCACACUUUGGGAGGCAGAGGCGGGUGGAUCACUUGAGGCCAGGAGUUCAAGACCAGCCUGGCCAAUGUGUUGAAACCCCAUCUCUACUAAAAAUACAAAAUUAGCCAGGUGUGGUGGCGGGUGUCUGUAAUCCCAGCUACUCGAGAAGCUGCCUAACCCUGAGUCUGGCAUUUAGUGGACACUUAAUGAAUGUUUGCUGAAUCGAAUUGAAUGUGCAUGGAAACUCUGGGAAAAAUCCUCCAGAAUCCUUCAGAUGGUGAAUGUGCAGUGAAGAGGUGGAAUGAGGCAAUUCCCUCAAAUUACAAAUUCACCUAUUUUGUUAAGAAAACAUUAAGAUGGAUAUCUUUUAUUUUUCUGUGUGAAAAUAAAGAAAAAAGAAUGCUGAA
rnacentral:lncRNA from 1 species